rnacentral:rRNA from 1 species
CAGUAGCCGCGGUAAUACGAAGGGGGCUAGCGUUGCUCGGAAUUACUGGGCGUAAAGGGCGCGUAGGCGGCGCUCCAAGUUAGGCGUGAAAUUCCCGGGCUCAACCUGGGGACUGCGCUUAAGACUGGAGUGCUUGAGGAUGGAAGAGGGUUGUGGAAUUCCCAGUGUAGAGGUGAAAUUCGUAGAUAUUGGGAAGAACACCGGUGGCGAAGGCGGCAACCUGGUCCAUUACUGACGCUGAGGCGCGAUAGCGUGGGGAGCAAACAGGAUUAGAUACCCCCGUAGUCCCUGUCUCUUAUAC